UCACAUCCACUGUUUGGUCUCCAUAGAUGUUCAGCAAGCAUCAAUGGAUGUCAAUGGGUGCCAUUUCAAUUCCACCCUUUUGCUUCACCUGCAUUUCCCUAUCAGACACCAUUGUUCAGCAACAAAAUGCAAUGGAAAACUGGUGGGAAGGUUAAACUUCCACUGCCAUACCACCACCAUCUGCCUCUGAUGUUGUGGGCCAACAUAAUAAAAUGGGAAGCAGUAUUUUUGGAGCAGUUCUCGUACUAAAACCACUGAAACCAUGGUAUUUUUAGUGCACACCAUAACUUUUUAAAAGUAAACUUCUAGAACAAUUGCCCUGUCACAGAGAAAAUUCUGUUUACAAGUCCCACCUCUAUACCCACUAUGUACCAUACUCAAAAUCAUCAGUCUGAGCAAGGACUGAAGCAGUACGUCUCAGAAAACACCAAGGGAAGUCCUAGCCCACACCUCUCACCAGGCACAGCUGGGGCUGGGGGAGAAGACCAGGAAAUAAUGAAGGCAAAUUGUGCCCAGCAACCACUGUCACCCAAACACACAUCAACUUUUGUAGGACGCAAACAAGUAUGGCUUUGAGGCUCAGCCAUUCCUCAAACACAAACAUUCCUCAAAUGCAUCUGUAAAUUCAGCAUCUUAAUUAUGAAUAACAACAAAAAGAUCAAUAUGCUGCGGGGAAACCGUCAACUGUGGGCAUCACCCAGUGUUCAACAAGCUCUUAUUGACGUCACUAAGCCCAGGUUUCUGUUUGAGCAAUGCAGUCUUCUCCUCGAAUAAAAGCCAAACCACUGAAUUUGGGCAAUAUUUCCAUUGUAGCUCAGAUUCUCAAAAAUAUUAGUAGGUUCAGGGCAAAAAUGACAUUUUUUUGCAAGGACUGCAAGAUGAGUUUGGCACAGAUUGCAGAGAUGGGAGAUAUAAGUUACAAACUAAAAUGGCUCCUCUGAGGGAGCUCCAACAGAAGUGCAACUGGAGGUGAUAAUUAACCAAAGCCUAUCAACCCAAUUGCUGGGAGCUUCAUAAGAGAGGUUCACGUGUUACAACACACCUACCGCUUCGCUUGGGUGUUUCUUUUAUCACCAUCUUUUUGCCAAAGCAGCCUGGGGACUUAGAAGACACUGAGAGCACAGAAAGUGCUUUCAAGUAAUGCCUGUCUGAACGCAGAUCAUUCCUCCUGGAUUCAGGUGAAAACAAAGAUGUUUUAAAUAAUAUUUGCAUCUUAUAAAGGCUGCCUUCAUGCCUAUGCACACCAAGGCAGCAAAUGGAGGCUUUGACAAGAGAAGUAAUUGUACAGAAGUAGUGUUGAGAAUAGAAGAGGUAGAAAAGCACAGAGUACGCACGAUAUAAAAUUAUUGUAUUUUUUUACUUGAUUUACCACAGGAGAUUGUUCUAAUAGUAAGGCGAAGAGAAAUAAUGAUCAGUUAACUCAUUAUUAAUGCUCAUUUUCUUUUCCAGAAUUGCCAGCGGGUUGAGUCAAUUAUUAAGCAUGACAGCAGGGCUUUAAUAUAUCAGCUAUAGAUUCCAAUCGCAGCAGUCUAGUUCAAUAACCGGGUUUUUUCUGCUUCAUUUUGACUAAUGGCAUACUGCAGAAAUUAUUAAAAUUCAUCUUAGCACAAAAACCAUUUACAACACCAUGAAAAAAAAUGGCAGCACAGCAGACCUCUGCUCAUUAUUUACCAUGGAAUUCAAAACAGCUACUGAGAAAGCAUCGAGCAGCUUCUCUGAAAACUUUUCAACAGCCACAACGCAACUGUGGAAGUUCAGUCAAUGCCAAGAGUGCCUCUGACGAGCUGAGGCCCCAUCUGUUGCCAAUAAAGUGCAUUCAGAUUUUAC
ensembl:lncRNA